AGAGUUUGAUCCUGGCUCAGAACGAACGCUGGCGGCGUGGAUAAGACAUGCAAGUCGAACGGGGUUUAGUUUGUAGUAAUACACGCUAAAUCCAGUGGCGAACGGGUGCGUAACACGUGAGUAAUCUGCCGGGAAGUGGGGGAUAGCUCGCCGAAAGGCGAAUUAAUACCGCAUAUGACAAGGGAAGACAUCUUUCCGAAGUCAAAGUCGCAAGACGCUUCCUGAUGAGCUCGCGGCCUAUCAGCUAGUUGGUGAGGUAACGGCUCACCAAGGCAAUGACGGGUAGCUGGUCUGAGAGGACGACCAGCCACACUGGAACUGAGACAUGGUCCAGACACCUACGGGUGGCAGCAGUCGAGAAUUUUUCACAAUGGGGGAAACCCUGAUGGAGCGACGCCGCGUGGAGGAUGAAGGUCUUCGGAUUGUAAACUCCUGUCAUGCGAGAACAAGAAAGUGAUAGUAUCGCAAGAGGAAGAGACGGCUAACUCUGUGCCAGCAGCCGCGGUAAUACAGAGGUCUCAAGCGUUGUUCGGAUUCAUUGGGCGUAAAGGGUGCGUAGGUGGCGUGGAAAGUUGAGUGUGAAAUCCUAGGGCUUAACCUUAGAACUGCACUCAAUACUCCCAUGCUAGAGGAAUGUAGAGGAGAGUGGAAUUCACGGUGUAGCAGUGAAAUGCGUAGAUAUCGUGAGGAAGACCAGUUGCGAAGGCGACUCUCUGGGCAUUUCCUGACACUGAGGCACGAAGGCCAGGGGAGCAAACGGGAUUAGAUACCCCGGUAGUCCUGGCAGUAAACGGUGCACGUUUGGUGUGGGCGGGCUCAGACCCCGUCCGUGCCGGAGCUAACGCGUUAAACGUGCCGCCUGGGAAGUACGGUCGCAAGAUUAAAACUCAAAGAAAUUGACGGGGGCCCGCACAAGCGGUGGAGUAUGUGGCUUAAUUCGAUGCAACGCGA
rnacentral:rRNA from 1 species